rnacentral:rRNA from 1 species
UACGUAGGGUCCAAGCGUUAUCCGGAUUUACUGGGCGUAAAGAGCAUGUAGGCGGUUGUUUAAGUCUGACGUGAAAGCUCCUGGCUUAACUGGGAGAGGCCGUUGGAAACUGGACAGCUUGAGGGUGGUAGAGGAAAGUGGAAUUCCCGGUGUAGCGGUGGAAUGCGUAGAUAUCGGGAGGAACACCAGUGGCGAAGGCGGCUUUCUGGGCCACACCUGACGCUGAGAUGCGAAAGCUAGGGGAGAGAACGGG